AUAUGAAUUAUCUACCUAGACACCUAAUGAGCUUUGGUAUGUCACUCAUAUGGUUAGGAAUCCAUUUUGAUAAAGAUAAAUAUCUAAUUAGUUGAUAUGAUAAUUAUAGCAUCUUUCAGAAAUAACUCAUUGGCUAGAAUCAAGGAUUCUUUUAUGGGAAGACCUAUCUAGCUUGUAUAUAUAGGUGCUUGAAGUCCCUAUUCACUAUGUGAAUAACAUUCAGUCCUGCCCCAUAGAGAGGAGUUAAACACAUAGUUGAGUAGAAGAUUUCUUGCGUGUGGCUGCUUGAAGUUUUGGAGCUCGGAUUAUUUGUGUUGAAUAGCUGUGUUGCUGCUACUGCUUUUGAAGGAAUGGCUGUUGUGCAUGAAGCAGGAAGUAUUUACAUGAACCUCAACAAUGUUUUGAUGCUCACUGGAACAAACUUUAGAGUAUGGAGAGAUUCGGGAGAGCGUUAUAUGAUGAUGCAUGAGAAUAUAGACCUAGUCUUUCAUGAGGAUGAACCUGAGGCAUUAACUAAAGAUAGUUCAGUUGAGGAGGUUAAGGCUUAAAGCCUGGCAUAGGUCAAAUAGAAUGGCCAAGAACACUAUAUUAGGAACACUAUGUCUGACACUGUAAGAGGUAGUGUAGAAGAACCUGACUUGGCUACUGACUAUAUGGAGGCCAUUGAGAGAAAAUUUAAAGAGAGUGAGAAAGCAGAGGCUGCAAGAUUGUCUAAGGCUUUCCAUGAGCUGAAGUAUGAAGGAUCUGGGGGAGUUAGAGAGCACAUAAUGAAGAUGAUCCAUAUUAAUGCUAGGCUCAGGGAGUUACUGAUGGGAGUGAAUGAUAUCCAAGUGGUGCAUGUUGCACUGCAUUCUUUGCCAAAUACCUUCAGUGGGCUUAGAACUAGCUACAAUGCUCUAAAAGGUACCUGGACCAUAGAUGAGCUCAUAUCUAUCUGUGCUGAUGAAGAAGAUAGAAUUAAGAAACAGAGAGAGCCUGCAACCUCUGUGAACCUGGUGGAAAAGCCAAAGAAAAAGAAGAACAAGCUUAAGGUCACCAAAACCAUCACUAAGCCAUCUGGAAACACUGCAGCACCUAACACCACCAAAGCUUUUAAGUUCAAGUGCUACUUUUGUAAAAAAAGUAGGACAUAUGAAGAAGGACUGCUCAGGUUUUAAGGCUUGGUUGGUGAAGAAGGGGAUUCACAAAGAAGAGGGCACCAAUGUCUGUGUGGGAAAUGGCAUGAGGGUUGCAGUGAAGGCUAUAGGAACCUUAAGACUAGAUCUAGGUUUUGGAAAUUUUUUAGUUUUGGAUGAUGUUUAUUACAUUCCCUCG